rnacentral:sRNA from 1 species
UUUCAAAAAUGUAAUAAAUGAAGCAUCGGAGUUAUUCUUCCUCACCGACUAAAACGUUCUUGUAAGCAGAUUUCUCCAAAAUGUAGUCGAAGGGAGUGAAAUCGAAAUCUGGAACUGGUGGUGAUCUCGGUGGGGCCUGAACGACGACGGUCCGAUCCAUAAACAGUAUGUCGUAUUCAUGCUUUGUUGCUCUGACUGAGUCAGUUGACUUACGGACCAAGAAAGAGGUGAUCGUCUUCCACUCAUUUUCAACGAAUCGGUCUUCGUAAAACGGAGCAAGGCGACGAUCAACGGUGGCCUCAAUACGGUUAUUCUUUACAUACAGAACAUGAUAGUAGACAGUUUAAUAUACAAGUUAAGCGAAUGAACGAGAAAAACACAUAAUGAUUUGACGGAAAUUACCGCGUAAUCUGCCAGGAUAAGGCCGAGUUCGAAGACGUUGGGCGAUAUAACCUUCUUGAAGACUCUCAAGUCAAAGACAUAAAUUCGCCACCCAGUGAUCAGAGGACACAAUUCUGAGACCAUAUGAAACCCCUCCAUCUCACGGAUAGCAAGAACAAGCGAAUCGAAAGACUAAAUUUUUAUUUGUGAAUGAUAUAACUGCCGGCACAAGAAAUGGGUUUAAAAUGAGGAUUGUGGAUAAAAUUAAGGAAGGGAGGAGACUUAAAUAGAGGAAAUCUGGAACGGCUACAGUUAUUAAUGCGGUUCCAACUACACUUGAUUCAAAUUUUUGGUAAUAGCUUGGUAACCGUCAUAUAGGGUAAUUAUUACGUUGAUUUGACAAUAAACAUCAACAGUUACGUCCUUUCCAUUAAAUACCAACACAACCACAGUAUACCCAACCAUGUCUCCAACUCCGUUCAUUUAAGAGGGGGAAUAAGUUAGAUUUUCAAAAAACUUAU